GCGCCGGUGAUAGAGUGGUCAAUUAUAGCACGCUGUAAACGUGCCGCCUUCGGGCUUCGGGGGUUCGAAUCCCUCCCGGCGCA
rfam:Parcubacteria (Nomurabacteria) bacterium GW2011_GWB1_47_6 TY01_C0007, whole genome shotgun sequence.